GGCGGGACCCUCGUACGUGGAAGGUCAUGAGGGCGGAACCCUGGUACAUGAAAUUCGUUCUCUUAUUUAAGAGACAAAGAACGCCCUUGUUUUUUCCACCACGUGAUGGCGCAGACAGAAGACAACCAGCAUCUAUGAACCAGGAAGCCCCCACCAGGCACUGAAUCUGCCCCUGCGUGGAUCUUAGACUUGCAGACUCCAGAACUGUCCAAAUUUUGGUCUGGAGCCAGAGACAAUAUAGGAUGAAGUUUGAUUUGUUCCAAAACCCACAGAAAUCUCUAAAAUGGAAGAAUUUUCUUAGAACCAAAAGGCAUGGAAUUGAUGACAUGAAACUGUUCUCUCUCCUGCCACCAUUUGAAGAAGGGUGUGUUUGCUUCCCCUUCCACCAUGAUUCUAAGUUUCCUGAGGCCUCCCCAGCUAUGCAGAACUAGUUUUGCUCGGUCACUCACGGCAACCUCCGCCUCCUGGGUUCAAGCAGUUCUCCUGCCUCAGUCUCCCGAGUAGCUGGGACUCUACAGGCAUCCCCCAUCAGGGCUUGAAAACAGAAAUCCUGCCAAGUCCCACGUUUUCUUCGGUUCCAAGCACAGAGAGACAUUCUUCAAGAAGAAUUUGGAAAGCAGAGAGGUUAGUAUUGACAAUUUAUUCUUCCUUUAACAAAAUUAUUUUAGUUCUUUAUCAUCAUUUGCAUUUCCACAUAAAUUUUAAAAUUAUAUUGUCGAUU
ensembl:lncRNA novel transcript